CCGGAGUAAAGGGCAAGAUGACACAGUGAGUGCCAAUGAACUCAGGUGUCUUGUCCAUUUUCCACUUAGGUCAGUCAAGUCCCCGAAGGCAAGAAUCAUGUUAAUUCAACUGCUUAUUCCAGAACAUUGCCUAACCUAUUUGCCAAGCGGGCAUCAUCAAAAGUGUUGACAUCCUCACUAGAGAGACAAGAUGAAGGAAGGGCAAAUCUGCUCUGUGCUUAAGCUGAGAGGUCCAUCUUCCUCUGCGCUCGGACACUGGUGCUCCUCAUUCUCAUGCCUUUGGCAUUGGGCCAAGACUUACAACGUUGGUUCCUCUGGUUCUUGGGCCUUCAGAUUUUGAGUGGGCUACCCCACCAACUUCCCUAGGCCGUAAGCCUGAA